rnacentral:rRNA from 1 species
UUCGGCCCGAGUUGUAAUUUGCAGAGGAUGUUUCUGGCGCGGUGCCUUCCGAGUUCCCUGGAACGGGACGCCAUAGAGGGUGAGAGCCCCGUAUGGUUGGAUACUAAGCCUGUGUGAAACUCCUUCGACGAGUCGAGUAGUUUGGGAAUGCUGCUCAAAAUGGGAGGUAAAUCUCUUCUAAAGCUAAAUAUUGGCCAGAGACCGAUAGCGCACAAGUAGAGUGAUCGAAAGAUGAAAAGCACCUUGAAAAGGGGGUUAAACAGUACGUGAAAUUGUUGAAAGGGAAGCGCUCAUGACCAGACUUGUGCUGGGCAGCUCAUCCGGGGUUCUCCCCGGUGCACUCUGCCCAGUUCAGGCCAGCAUCGAUUUUUGCUGGGGGAUAAGAACGGUAGGAACGUGGCCCUCCUUCGGGUGGGUGUUAUAGCCUGCCGUACGAUACCCUGGCGGAGAUCGAGGUUCGCGCAUCUGCAAGGAUGCUGGCGUAAUGGUCAUCAGCGACCCGUCUUGAAACACGGACCAAGGAGUCGUCCAUUAGAGCGAGCGUUUGGGUGUAAAACCCGCACGCGUAAUGAAAGUGAAAUUAGGUGAGAGCUUCGGCGCAUCAUCGACCGAUCCUGAUGUUCUCGGAAGGAUUUGAGUAAGAGUUUUAACGGACGGACCCGAAAGACAGUGAACUAUGCUUGUAUAGGGUGAAGCCAGAGGAAACUCUGGUGGAGGCUCGCAGCGGUUCUGACGUGCAAAUCGAUCGUCAAAUAUGAGCAUGGGGGCGAAAGACU